CCAUCUUUCGAUAUAAGACUAUACGGAGGACAGAUGGAUCGUAUGUUCUGCUCGACGAAUAAUAGUCGCGGAUAUCAAAUUACAGGGCUUACCUUUGCACCGGUGCAACAGAGCCUCGACGUCCGCGCGACGCCUUCCCGGGAACACUCGCAACAAAACGUCGACAGGCGAUCGUUGUUGCUGUUGUUGUUGCUGCUGCUGCUGUUGCUGUUGUUGCUGCUGCAACUGAAGGCCGCAAGUCUGCUGAAUAUUCUGCAUCUGCAUCUGCAUUUGAAUCUCACGGGGCUCUGGCAUGUGAUGAUGAUGUUGAUGCUGGUAUAACGCUGGAGAACAAUAAAGAGAACUCGCUGCUGGACCGUAUAGGGGAGCAUAAGGUGGAAAGUGUACCGCGGUCGCUGCGGCCUGGAAAAAGAAAGGAAUGUAAUUAUAUUCUAAAAAUCUGCAUUAAUUUAUCUUCAAAGAAAGAAAGCUUAAUUCCUCUUAUCCUCUGUUAUGAAGGAUAUUAUAAAAAUGUUAAAGAUAUCGAUUCGUCAAAGGAAUAAAAUAAAAAAGCUAACCGCCAACGAAGGUAGUGGAGGGCUAGGUCUAGGCUGCACCAAAUCCACCGGUUGAAGCGUCUGUUGCGUUUGCUGAGGACUUCCGCUUUUGCGAAGGCUUAGAUUUUCUGGCGCUGGUGUAUCCUCUCUUUGCGGUGUCAAUGCUGGCGUUAAUGGAGGUGUAUGCGUCGGGCUUUGGGAGCCUGGUUCCGGACUUCCAUCCUCAGAAUCGUUCAGGCUGUUCGACCGUUUCCGCGUUGUAUCGUUCUCCGUUAUUCCAAUUGACGUUGGAAUUGCUAUUACACACAAG